GAUUUUUGAUCUUGAUUCCUUUUUUGAAAAUACCAAGAUGAUGCUGAAAUAAGCAGUGAUUGAUUAAUAUUUUUUGCGCACAUUUUUGCAUCCAGGGUGAUAAAUUGCUUUAUCUUCCAUGCUCUCCUUCUUUGGGAUGUUGUCCAAAAAUUGUUGCAGCUUUGGUUCUUUUGCCAAGUUUUUGAUGCAUUCUGAUGCUUUGCAGAAACCAUUUGCUGGCCCCAGGCUUUCAAUGUCAUCAACAAGAUGUAGCAGGAGAUGUACUUUAGCCUUCUUUUGAAAUUCAGGCACAUGUAUUAUGUAUCUGGUGUUAUACCUCGCUCAACAAUUCCCAGACCAAGAGUUGUUCAAAUGGAAUGAUAUCUUGCAGAACAAAGACAGCAACUUGCAUCCACAAUUUGUAAUCUCUUCCAACAUAUGAGCCAUAGUUUCUUGUGAUGUUUCCCCUGAUUGUGGCUGAAAAUGCACUCAUGUCAAGUGCUUGAAUCUUUGCAUGGAGCUGGUUUUUCAAUUGCUGAGUUCUAGUGUUGGCAACAAGAAUUUUACUGUGGGUAAAUACGGUUUCAAAUUUCUAUGCUUCCCAAGUGAUGUUCGAAUUCUGAUGCCCGUGGAUUGUCCGCUAACACGCAUAAUACAGGUCACAGGCAAUGGAUUUCCCAAGUGCAACAGACGGAACUACGUUAGAUGUGCUAAUAAAGUGAAUGUUUUCGAUUUUUCGAAAUUCGUUUCGUGGAAGGCCCGCCAAACUCAUCGAGAAACUCUCCAACCGAUUCCAUUUCUUCGUUGUGUUUCCGCUUGUUUCGUCGCUAAAGACGAGCAACGGAACUGUGGAAGUCGGAUUUUUUCCACCGGAUUGUAUCCUGUCGACGUGUGGUGCAAGAAUGUCUUUGGCUUCCUGUGAUAAAAAGAUAAUACGUCGUUCCGUUCACAGAGAUCGAUGAGCUUUGAAAGUCUUCGUUUUCCAACCACUUGCGUCCCUGUAUCAAAGGGAAUACAUGUACUGUUCAUUCUGCAGUUCAGUGUACGCGUUAUCUUGCUUCGUGUGCAUGGUAUAAAACAUUUGGACAAAGUUGUACCCAUAGGCGUACGGGAAAGUGAAGCUGGGCUCCCCCUCCUCCUUUUCGGGCAAAACGUGUCUUGUCAUUCAGGCAACGACGUUACAACGGUCUAUUUAGAGGUAUUUCAACAAGUUCAAUUUUUACAGGUUUACUACAAAUAGCGUAGAUUGGAUUUGGUUUCGAUUCUUACGCAUAUCCACAGACUGUAAAUGAUAGCCUUUCAAAGGAAAGUCUGUCACCUGUGGUCUUCUCAGAUCAUAUAAUUUUAUGAUGACGUCACGAAAUCUAUGACGUCAUGUCUUCGGACAAAUUUAGUCCAGCCCCCGUACGUAUGAAAAUCUGCCCGUACGCCUAUGGUUGUACCUAUAAAUCUAACCUGUGGCAUCUCGUUAAUAUACGUGUCCGUCUCUUCUGGAAAUCUCAUAAGCGCACUGGCUCUGGUUGGUAUUGCGAGUUGAAGUUGAACGAUAUCCGAAGGCCGUAACCAGUAAUAUGGAUAGCCGUUGUAAUAAUCCUAGAAAUUGAAAUGUUUACCUGUGUUAAUAAAUGGCCUUAAUUGCACUUUGUACAUUGGCCUUUUUUUAACG